rnacentral:lncRNA from 1 species
AAAUGAAAGGCACUGCUGCUGAGUUAACUAAGGGAGAGACCACGAAACCCUAAGUUUUCUCUCACCAUUUUCGCCACCGUUUCCACUGCCGUUUCCGCCGCCGGCCGCCGUUAUCACUNNNNNNNNUUGUAGUAGAGAGCUUCUGAAUCGAGCCACCUCUUCUAUCAACGCGUUCUCAGAUCUUUUCUCUCUAUACUGUCGUUGCUGCCACUGUUGCCACCGCAGUUUCCGCCGCCGUUGCCGCCACAAUUUCUGCCGUCGAUGCCACCGUAGGUGCCGUGGUACAACGCAUUUUCAGAUCUGUUCACUCCCGACCUUCUUCUUCAACGCUGCUUUCUCUCACUUCGAUUCCUUUGAACUGCCGCGCCGCUGGUACUUCCUUUCUUCUUCUUCCCUAUUAAUUUUCUGAUAUUUCUUCUUUAUUAAUAAUAUUUUUUUCUCUGUGUCGUCUCCUCUGUUCUGUUGCAACUAUUUUACUGGUAUCUCCUUUUUGUUCUUCAGUAAUGUUUAACUGUUUAUGUAGUUUAUGUCUUGGUUUGAUUAUAGUUUUGGUUUGAUUAAACUUUAUUGUUGUUUUGGCUACUAAUUUUGUUCUUUAUUGUUAUUGACUGUCUAUUAAUAAUAUUGUAUCGCAAAUUAGUGACCAUUGUGCUUUAAUUUUAGACUUAUAUAUUAUUAGUGAUUAUUAUGUUUUAAUUCUUUGUAGACAUCAUUAAUUCAUUAUCAGAACAAAAUGGCAUUAUUUGAUUCACUGUUUUCUGUAUAGUGUAGUGCAAGGUCUAAUGGCUUUUUGGAUUGUUCAACAAGAUAUUCUUAUUUGAUUCUCAGGGUUUACGGUUUAGGCCCCUGUGCUUCUUGAAAAAUGAGUUUCAUUGGUCUCGAGGCUCUUUAAUCUAUGCAUUAAUUUGAGGUUAUAUACCUUCCAUUUUGUUAAAUCAAUUAUUUCCUAAUCAUUGUAUUCUGUACUUAUCUUCAUCAUUGUUCAUCACAUUUGUGUUUGUCAACAGGCAAUAUGUUAUCUAUCAUAUAUUUUUACUGCUUCACUGAUUUAGGUGAAGAGGAAAAGUAAUUUUUCCCCCUAAUUAUCUGAAGCAACCAAACUGAUGUUUACAAUCAAUAACAUUUUUUAGGCUUAGGGGACUAGUUGUUCUGGGAACGUGAAUUCAUGAAAUAUAAUUUUGCAUUUUUUGAGCUUGGAACUUUUUAUAUUUAGCUUCUUCUCUCAAGUUCUACUAUUUAUCUUGUACUCACUUCUCACUUUUCACUGAAUUAG